GGCGGCAGGCCUAAUACAUGCAAGUCGAGCGCGCCCUUCGGGGUGAGCGGCGGACGGGUGAGUAACGCGUGGGAAUAUGCCCUUCUCUAAGGAAUAGCCUCUGGAAACGGAGAGUAAUACCUUAUACGCCCUUUGGGGGAAAGAUUUAUCGGAGAAGGAUUAGCCCGCGUUAGAUUAGGUAGUUGGUGGGGUAAUGGCCUACCAAGCCUACGAUCUAUAGCUGGUUUGAGAGGAUGAUCAGCCACACUGGGACUGAGACACGGCCCAGACUCCUACGGGAGGCAGCAGUAGGGAAUCUUAGACAAUGGGGGCAACCCUGAUCUAGCCAUGCCGCGUGUGUGAUGAAGGCCCUAGGGUCGUAAAGCACUUUCGCCAGAGAUGAUAAUGACAGUAUCUGGUAAAGAAACCCCGGCUAACUCCGUGCCAGCAGCCGCGGUAAUACGGAGGGGGUUAGCGUUGUUCGGAAUUACUGGGCGUAAAGCGCACGUAGGCGGAUUAGUAAGUUAGAGGUGAAAUCCCAGGGCUCAACCCUGGAACUGCCUUUAAUACUGCUAGUCUUGAGUUCGAGAGAGGUAAGUGGAAUUCCGAGUGUAGAGGUGAAAUUCGUAGAUAUUCGGAGGAACACCAGUGGCGAAGGCGGCUUACUGGCUCGAUACUGACGCUGAGGUGCGAAAGUGUGGGGAGCAAACAGGAUUAGAUACCCUGGUAGUCCACACCGUAAACGAUGAAUGCCAGACGUCAGCAAGUAUACUUGUUGGUGUCACACCUAACGGAUUAAGCAUCCGC
rnacentral:rRNA from 1 species